rnacentral:lncRNA from 1 species
GCGUGGCCAGCCCUAAGAGCCGACUUCACUUUCUGUUUCAGGAUCUUUGCUGUCUCUAGGUCUGACGUCAGAAAACCCUUCCUGUCCUGCUGUCUGAGUGACCCUGGUCUAGGCCCUCCUUGCUUUAAGAAAUGCUAUAGCCAGCCGGGCGGUGGUGGCGCAUGCCUUUAAUCCCAGCACUUGAGAGGCAGAGGCAGGCAGAUUUCUGAGUUUGAGUCCAGCCUGGUUUACAAAGUGAGUUCCAGGACAGCCAGGGCUACACAGAGAAACCCUGUCUCGAAAAGACAAAAAAAAAAAAAAAAAAAAGUGCUAUAGCCAAGCCAGGGUAGUAGAUGGCUGGGAUGGGGCUAUAAAUGUGUAUUUUCUUUCUUAAAUCUCUCUUCUGGAAUGAGGUACUUCUCAGUUUGUAUUUCAUAAGGCUUAGAGGUGGUACAGGGCAGCAAGGUGUCCUUGUGACCUUCUUUGAGGCUUAGCAUAUGAACCCAGUACUUCUGCAGAUUGCCAAGGUUUUUCUUGAUCUGUCCUUAACAGGUGGAAUCAGCUUUUGGGUUUGAUAUUUUGUUAUUUCAAUGAUGUUUUAAAUUCCUUGUUUUUAAUAUCCUAAAUAUGUUUUCAUAUACAUUUGUCCUUUUAUUUUCUAUGUAUAGGGCAGAAGUUGACAGAAUCUUUCUGGGUAGAGGUAAUCACCUGCACUCCCAGCAUCGAGGAGGCUGAGGCAGGAGGAUAGUGAGUUUGAGUUAACCUAGGCUAUAUACUGAGAUCCUGUUCUUUCUUAAAGUGGCAGGAUUUGGGGUUUGAGCCUUGACUAUGUGUGGUACAGGAAACACACCUGCUGGGCUGGUAGAUGCUAAAGAGCAAGUAGGUUAUUUUAAACAUUAUCUUCUAACCCUAAGUGAAUUCUGCCUCCUUCUGUGCUACAUUAGAAUGAAACGCGGAAAUAUCCAGAAAUAAAUUCUUGUUUCCCAAAAUGUGUGGUUUGUCUCACUGUAGCAAGAAACCACCAUGCAGUGGUGUACAAGGCAGUGCCCCAUGUCCCCUUCUAUCAGCCAAGUGCACAGGUGUGGCCCGCCUGCCUGCCUACCUGCCCGCCCGCCGUGCUCCACGCACCUGGGUAGGACAGAAGCAAGGACUGUCAGUAGAAUAUGAUCGAGGUCCAUGUGUCUACGAAGUCAUCUGUUGCUUUGGACACCAAAAGAAAAGGAUCCGGCGCUUUUCUCCAUCGCUUUGCAGACUUUCAGAACUUACGUGGUUGGCUGGACAGUGUGCUUUGUUUCACUGUCAUUAGGGCUGGGUUGUUAUGAGUUUGGGAGAGGUGAGUGACUAACUUGGGUAGAAGGGGAGCCCUAUUCCUGCUUGUGUACUCUGACUAAGCACCCAGUUCACCUUCCAGUUCUAGAAAUAAAUGCAUCCUUUGAGCUGCAGAUGUCUUGAAGGGUCUGAAGCCUCCUUUAUAGGGAUGUAUACCCAGGAAUGUCAAAUAUGUUUGAAAAGAAAUACCUAGUGUUCGGUUGGAUAUGUUUCGAUUCCCUUCAUUGGGGGAACUCAGGGGGCCCGUGCUUCAGCUCUGAUGAGUUCCAGGGAGGCACCUGGGAAAGAUUACCCUUGUGACCAGGGAGUCAGGAGUCUGACUGUGUUGUGUCUGGCUGGACUUGAUUUUCUAUUGGGAUUCAGAACUACCACAUAAGUUGCUGGCGGCAAGCUUUGUCCAGGCGGGGCUGAGACUUACACUGUAGGACCUGAAGGACACAAGUCCUGGUGAAUGUGGAAGGUUGUUGGAGAAAGGUGACAAUUUAGCUCCUUGAUGUGGUUUGUGGUACAGGACAUGAAGCAUAGGUGCCUAGCUAUGACCUGACUGUCUGCUCACACAUUGAUAUAGAUCUGGUCUGGUCAUGGCAAUUUUGUAUGGAAUUCAAUAGUAUUUAAAAAUUUUCAUUAUUGUUAUUUUGUAUUUUAUUUGUAUUGUUAUUUUGUUUUAUUGUUAUUUGCUAUUUUGGAUUGACCCUAGGCCUUGCCCACGGGAGACCAGCACUCUGCCACUGAGAUACUCUCCAGUUAUUUUUAAUUUUGAUUUUGAGACAAAGUCAGAAUUUUGAUAAAUUGACCAAUUGGCUGUGUAACUCAGACAGAUCUCAAGUCUCCUGUCACAUUCUUUUGCAUGCUAUGAUUACAGUCCUGUCUGGUUAUGUUGCAGAUUUUUCUCUUAUUGUUUUUGGGGAGCAGGGUCUCAUGUAGCCCAGACUGGCUUCAAGCUUGAUAUGUAGCUGAGGCUAACCUUGAACUGCUGACCCUUCUAUCUCUGCCUCCCAAGUUCUAGGAUACAGGAGUGUGCAUCAUCAAACCCUGCACUUGCUGGUUUUUAAAUAUAUACUUAAUUUUUAUGUGUGCUUUGUGCUUACAGAGGCCAGAAGAAGGUGCUAGAUCCCUUUGGAGCUAGAGCUACACCUGAUAUAGGUGCUGGGAACUGAACUCAGGUCUUCUGGAAGAGAAAUAUACACCCUUGACUGAUGAGCCAUCUGUCUCUACAGCCUCUCUUACAGUUUUGUUUCUAAAUGAAUGUAAUAUGAGUACACUGACACUCUCUUCAGACACACCAGAAGAGGGCAUCAGAUCCCAUUACAGAUGGUUUUGGCCACUACGUGGUUGCUGGGAAUUGAACUCAGGAUCUCUGGAAGAGCAUCAAUGCUCUUAACGGCUGAGCCAUCUCUCCAGCCCACUGUGCUACUAUUUUAUAACUUGUGGGUGCUCAUUGAGCUGUCUGAGGCCUUGAUACCUUUAUUUUCUUCUGUUGUACCUGAAGAAAUACUGUAACAGCCUGAGUCCAUGAUUUACAAGAGCAAAUAAGACCAGCUGGCCAUAGGAGUCUAUGACACCAGACCCUGCCACCAUUUUCACUAUCUUUGAUGACCCCAAAGUGCUAAAAGUGCCAUCCCUAGGCACACCGAUGGAUGGUCCCCUGAGAACUGCAUAGCACAGUUAAGUCCUGUGUGAAUUUUCUAUGUUCCUUUCGGGUCCUAAGGGCUUAGGUAUCUACCUUCAAAACCUACCCACUGUUGAAGUUGGCACUGAAGCUGGCAUACUACUGGACUGUGGACAUACUUCUUUCUGUGGCCACAGGCCCCACAGGGCAGAGGCCCAGGUACCUAUCUACAGAGAACAAAGACAGCUUGUUUUGGCUUACAGAUUGUUAAAGAAUAUUUCCUUAUGGUGUUGAAACAAGCAUUCCAGUACAGUAACCUAAUUCUAGAUUCACCUGGAAUUUUUAGUUCAUUUGACAAGCUAUAUGUUCAGCUAGAAACAGACUGGAACAUCUUAGCGUUCUCGUCAGGAGUUUGGUUCUCAGAGGUAGAUGCUGUAAGUUACAGCUUUCUGUGCUACUUCCUCUGUUGGACUCAUUUUGCUUUUAGAAAGAGACCCCACCCCAGACAAAUCAUAAGCAAGGACCCAUGCUAUUGGAAUUGACCAGUUUUUGGGAAAGUUCCCCAAAACAUCUGUCUCCAACCAACUUUGGCAUUGUGCACUAGCCAGCUGGACUUCGAGGACAUUGACAGUGCUUAUGAGAUGACCAUGGGGAACACUGUAGUAGAGUGUAACAUUUUUACAUUAUAUACUCCAGACAGAGCUCAGGGAGCCAGCACUGCCGCCCUAGUCCAGGUAAGAUGUAAGGGCCACCAGCACACCUGGACAGCCUAAGGCCAAUAGUGUAUCCUGGGACUUGUCCAUUGAGCAAAGUGGAGAAUGAGGACUUGGAACAGCCUCACAUAAGGGUCUUAAGAGCCCUCUUGCUAAGGCUAGAGAGAUGGUUCAGUGGUUAAGAGCACUGGUUGCCCUUCCUGAGUUUAAUUCCCAGCUCCACUAUAACAGGAUCUGAUGUCCUUUUUUGUCAUGCAGGAAUACAUGCAGAUAGCAGUCAUAUACAUAAAUAAGU